rnacentral:rRNA from 1 species
AGUGAACGCUGGCGGUAGGCCUAACACAUGCAAGUCGAACGGCAGCACAGUAAGAGCUUGCUCUUACGGGUGGCGAGUGGCGGACGGGUGAGGAAUACAUCGGAAUCUACUUUUUCGUGGGGGAUAACGUAGGGAAACUUACGCUAAUACCGCAUACGACCUACGGGUGAAAGCAGGGGAUCUUCGGACCUUGCGCGAUUGAAUGAGCCGAUGUCGGAUUAGCUAGUUGGCGGGGUAAAGGCCCACCAAGGCGACGAUCCGUAGGUGGUCUGAGAGGAUGGUCAGCCACACUGGAACUGAGACACGGUCCAGACUCCUACGGGAGGCAGCAGUGGGGAAUAUUGGACAAUGGGCGCAAGCCUGAUCCAGCCAUACCGCGUGGGUGAAGAAGGCCUUCGGGUUGUAAAGCCCUUUUGUUGGGAAAGAAAAGCAGCAGGUUAAUACCCCGCUGUUCUGACGGUACCCAAAGAAUAAGCACCGGCUAACUUCGUG